GAGACGCUAGUAAAACUGAAUAUUACAAAGCUUUGUCAAGGCUUAAUUGCAGGUUGAACUCCUGCGCGUCUUA
rnacentral:tRNA from 1 species